rnacentral:rRNA from 1 species
UGGGGAAUAUUGCACAAUGGAGGAAACUCUGAUGCAGCGACGCCGCGUGAGGGAAGAAGGUCUUCGGAUUGUAAACCUCUGUCUUCAGGGACGAUAAUGACGGUACCUGAGGAGGAAGCACCGGCUAACUACGUGCCAGCAGCCGCGGUAAAACGUAGGGUGCAAGCGUUGUCCGGAAUUACUGGGUGUAAAGGGAGCGCAGGCGGGAAGGUAAGUUGGAUGUUUAAUCUACGGGCUCAACCCGUAUCAGCAUUCAAAACUAUUUUUCUUGAGUGGUGCAGAGGUAGGCGGAAUUCCCGGUGUAGCGGUGGAAUGCGUAGAUAUCGGGAGGAACACCAGUGGCGAAGGCGGCCUGCUGGGCACUAACUGACGCUGAGGCUCGAAAGCAUGGGUAGCAAAC